rnacentral:rRNA from 1 species
CCUACGGGGGGCAGCAGUGAGGAAUAUUGGUCAAUGGGCGCGAGCCUGAACCAGCCAAGUCGCGUGAGGGAAGACGGUCCUAUGGAUUGUAAACCUCUUUUGUCGGGGAGCAAAAGACGCCACGCGUGGCGUUCCGAGAGUACCCGAAGAAAAAGCAUCGGCUAACACCGUGCCAGCAGCAGCGGUAAUACGGGGGAUGCGAGCGUUGUCCGGAUUUAUUGGGUGAAAAGGGUGCGCAGGCGGAAGAUCAAGUCAGCGGUAAAAUUGAGGGGCUCAACCUCUUCGAGCCGUUGAAACUGGUUAUCUUGAGUGAGUGAGAAGUAUGCGGAAUGCGUGGUGUAGCGGUGAAAUGCAUAGAUAUCACGCAGAACUCCGAUUGCGAAGGCAGCAUACCGGCGCUCAACUGACGCUCAUGCACGAAAGUGUGGGUAUCGAACAGGAUUAGAUACCCUAGUAGUC